rnacentral:rRNA from 1 species
UACGUAGGGAGCAAGCGUUGUCCGGAAUUACUGGGCGUAAAGCGUGCGUAGGUGGUUUGUUAAGUCUGUUGUGAAAGCCCCGGGCUCAACCUGGGAAUGGCAAUGGAUACUGGCAAGCUAGAGUGCGGUAGAGGGUAGUGGAAUUCCCGGUGUAGCGGUGAAAUGCGUAGAGAUCGGGAGGAACACCAGUGGCGAAGGCGGCUACCUGGACCAGCACUGACACUGAGGCACGAAAGCGUGGGGAGCAAACAGG